rnacentral:lncRNA from 1 species
UCAAGGAGGCGGAGGAGUAGGGGCGUGCCCAGCCGACAGCCCUGUCUUGCUCGUGGGGGAGGGGCAGGAGGGGUCUGCUCCUCUGCUUCCAUUGUGACUGCGGCAGGUAGCUCCUCCAUCUCCCUCCCCCUCUUCCUAUGCUCACUACUUCUGCUGCUAAGUUGACGAAUAUGUGAUGCACUUGUCCCAAGGAAUUUUAGAGGGAUCUGUAUGAACAAGUCAUGUUUUUAUUUUAUUUUAGGUUGUUAGUUACCAAACAGAGAGAGAAGAUGAGCUCCUGUUUGGAUUUUUUUCUGCCAGCACAUGAUUUGUAUGUAUGCAAUCAUCAUCUUGCGUGUGCGAGCUGGUUCCUUGCUUGGGCAUCGCGUCGAUAACCAAGUGUUAGUGCCGAUUUGUUGUGGUGGUGCUCAUCUGGCCAUUGAUUUCUUGCUGAUAAUUAGGUGCUAAAGAAUGCUGCAGGUUUAUUAGGAUGUGGCUGAAACCAUUGGAUGGCCUUCGUGGACUUGCUAUCAAUACUGGUCUCAUGUUUUGUUUCCUUUCUGGACAUGUUACGGUUCAAGUGUUGAUGUUGUUUAGUACUAAGUGCUUAACUUAACUAAGCUUGAGCUACUAAAACCCACUCUCAAAUGAAUGAAUUCCUGUUUUGCAAAACUUCAAUGUUGAGCUCCUCUCCUCGCUGAGCCGUGGCCGUCGAUUUUCAUUUCGUCGACCACCACUCCAGCUACCUUCUUGUGUAAUCAAAUUUGCUCAUGUAUGUAUGUAUGCAUAUAUAUAUAUAUAUAUAUAUAUAUAUAUAUAUAUAUAUGUAUAUGUAUGAGGCUGGGUAGUUCAACACUAGUUUUCUUUCAAACUCAUUUCAUAUAUAUGGUGGAAAUUGUGCAGGUUCCAUGGUGCCAAGUGGCCUCUGGCCAUCUUGAACUGGAACUCCAGUAACAAGUAGAUGUUGCUGCCGUACUCAAUAUUUUAAGUUGUUUUUUUUUUAUUUUUUGAGAGAAGUGUAUUUGGUUGAUGAGAUUAAUUAGCUCAGUUUGCUAAAGUAGCAACAACAAUAGCCACGCAUUGCCAUCCACUUUAUACCUGGAUUGUACUUACAUGCUUAGAUAACCUUGUACGCAUAGCUGGUCUGUUUAAUUUAUAAAUGGUUAUCUGUUGUUGCUGCAGGAGCAACGUUGCUGAUGGCGAUGGGUACGUGAUGGUGGCUAGUGUGGUGGACGACCCAGAAUAUGUGGCCUCGCAAGUGCACAUGUAUGUAGCUUCCCUCCUCAAAUGUUUCCGUUUCUGCCUCAGCUACUAAGCCAAUAAACACCAAAUCUGGAAUGAGAAAGAGGAUGAGGCCUACUUGAUUGGUUUUUUAACCAUUUUUUCGUUCAUGCUAUGUGCAUUGAUUCCCACGAACUAUAACCUGAUUUGAUGCUACCUUGUCUUUUUUCAAUUGAUAUUUGUCUCAUCCAGCACUCUGACUAUAAAUGUGUUGUUUUAAUCCUGAUGAUGAUGUUGUAGUAUAAGGUGGACACCAUGAUCCUCUUUUAAUCCAAAAUGAAUAAUUUUGUUUCAUCAUGUCCUGGUUUACCCAAGUCAAAUUGUUUUUGGUUUGUACUUUGGACCCUGUGUGUUUCUCACAUGAACUAGUGUUGUUGUAACAUGAACUGUAGUAGCUCGCUGCUAUCUAACUGUGAUCAUUGCAAGGAGGAACCACUAUUUGGCUUCAUCCCUUCCUCAUUUGACCAUUUUUAUGGCCCAUAUGCAUGCUACGUGUUGGCUGACUUAGCAUGACGUGCACGAAAACUUGAGGGCAUCCAUACUAAACAACACUUCUUAAUUUUCAUGCAGACUUGCUCUAGCUCUUAUUAAUUUUCAUGCAUGUUCCUUUCCAGACUUGAUCUUACUACUAAAUAGCACCCCAUCACCUGUUGUUGUUAUUGUUAUUCACCCUAUCCUUGCUGUUAUGUUUUCUUGUUGGCAGAUAUUUUGCGUAAAUUCAAGACGAAAGAUGUUCAAAGAAGCUCCUAGAUAUUCUUAUAUAGCAAGUUAUGUAAUAAUAGCUGGGUUAUCUGGGAAUUUCAUGUAUCUUCUCUCUGUUUGUGAAUGAAAUAGUAAUUAUGUAUGUGAUUUAAUGUAUCUUCUCUCCGUUUGUGAAUUUCAUGUAUGUUUCAGAAUUGCAAUUUCUGUUUCAUAUGAAAUAGUAAUUAUGUAUGUGAUUUGAAAAUGUGUGCAAUGGAAACAUGACUCAUG